ensembl:lncRNA
GGUGGUACUGGGACCGCACCCCCUCUCGUCCUGGCUGCGUGGGCCCGCUUUCCCCGGUCUCUGGAGACUCCGAGCCCGGCGGGUCCCACGCUCCACGCGAGCAGAAUUCCCGCAGGUCUCCCGCCCGGGUGGCCAGAGGCGGUGGCGGGGAUGGCGGGCUCCGGGAGGCGCUCCGGCUCCGAGAAGCCGCUUAGCCCCGCGCUCCUCCCUCCGCAGUGCCGCCGCCGGCGGGCCGGGAUUCCCGCGGGUCUCGGCGGCCGCGAGCUGCAGGCGGCGCGGGUCCCCGGCUCGGUUGGUCACCUUGCCCGCCUCGCCUCCCACGGCUUCCAGCGGGCGCGGAGCUCUCCUCUGCGCGCCUCCCCGGCCCGUCUCGGUUUCCCUUCUUCGUCCUCUAGACCAUCCAGCGCAACUCCGUCGACCUCCGCGGCCCUGAGAGAGCAUCCGGCGCGGGCAGAGGCGUACCGGCCCGACCUCACGCCUCUCAUGGACUCUUCUCCAGGGUACCAUGGCCCAGAUUGGGACUAUCAGUACCAUAGGCAGCCCACCUGUCUCACUAAGGCUCUGAACUUCCCUUGCUCCUCAUUGUGCGGAGAGGCUGGGGCCUCUCUCCAUCUUACAGAAGAGGCGACUGAGGACGGAUCAGAACCCAGACAUCCAGUCUGCUGCUGGCAAGUUGAACCUGCUCUUGCCAGCGGCCCGGAUCCUCGAGCGGGAGCAGGGCACUUGGCAGGCCUGAGAAUGGAUUGCAUGGAGGAAAGGAUCCUGCCGGCCUGUCCAUCUCGGCUCUGAAUCCUGCCCCGGCGCUGCCCCCUCCUUAAGGGGUCCUCCCCGAC